rnacentral:rRNA from 1 species
UUGAACGCUGGCGGCGGCUUAACACAUGCAAGUCGAACGGAGUGGCGAACGGGUGAGUAACGCGUGAGCAACCUGCCUAUGACAGUGGGAUAGCCUCGGGAAACCGGGAUUAAUACCGCAUAGUCAUAGAUGGGCUCGCGUCUGAUUAGCUAGUUGGUGAGAUAACAGCCCACCAAGGCGACGAUCAGUAGCCGGUCUGAGAGAAUGAACGGCCACAGUGGAACUGGGAAACGGUCAAAACUCCUACGGGAGGGAGCAGUGGGGAAUAUUGCACAAUGGGGGAAACCCUGAUGCAGCGACGCUGCGUGAACGAAGACGGUAUUCGUAUCGUAAAGGUCUGUCCUAUGGGAAGCAGUACCAUAGAAGAAAGCUCCGGCUAAAUACGUGCCAGCCGCCGCGGUAAUUC